rnacentral:rRNA from 1 species
GUUUUGACCCUGGCUCAAAAACGGGGCUUUGGGGGCCGUUUCCAUGCAACGAACGAAAACCCGGCUUGCUCAAGUGGAAAAUGGCGAACGGCUUAGUAACCCCCGUGGUAUCUACCUAAAAGGUUUUUGGAACAAUUUUGGAAACGAUGGCUUACCAAAUUUUCCCCGGGGGGGAAAGAUUUAUCUUAAAGGGACCCGUGGGAAACUUUUGGUAGGGAAAAACCCCCCUACCAAACCCCAAAAACCCCGAAACUGGUCUGAAGGAUGAAAAAACUGGGGUUGGGACUGAGACACGGCCCGGGGCCCUACGGGAGGCAGCAGUGGGAAUAUUGCGCAAGGGGGAAAACCCCUGCCCAGGUUUCCCUAAAGUGAAAAAACCUGGGUUGAAAAACUCUUUCACGGUAAAUAAGGGGGAAAACCGGAAAAAACCCCGGCCCUAACCGGGCCAGCAGCCGCGGUAAAGGGGGGCAAAAUUUUUCAAAAUUCGGGGCAAAAGCGCGCGUGGGCCCCGGUUUUGGGACAGUUGAGGUGAAACCCCGGAAUUUAACCCCCGGAACUCCCCUUCAAUACUCCCUUCUUGGGGUUCCCGGAAGAGGUGGUGGAAUUCCUAGUGUAGGGUGAAAUUCGUAGAUAUUAGGAAGAACACCCCAGUGGCAAGGCGACCCCGGGCCGGGAUCCCUGACGCUGGGGUCCCAGCGUGGGAAAAAGGGAAUUAGAUCCCCUGGUAGUCCCGAAAACGAUGGGAAGCUAGUUUUUGGGGCGGCAUGCCGUUCGGUGGCCAGCUAACGCAUUAAGCUUCCCCCCGGGGGAAGUACGUCCCAAGAUUAAAAACUCAAAAAUUGACGGGGCCCCACAAGCGGUGGAGCAUGCGGUUUUUAAAUUCAAAGCAACGCGGGGGAAAACCAACCGCCCGACAUCCCGGUCGCAAAAAGUAUUUUUUUCCAGUUAGGCUGGCCGGGCCCCCGGGGUGCUGCAGGGCUGUCGUCAGCUCGUGUCGUGAGAUUUUGGGGUUUAAAAAUCCGCAACGAGCGCGGCCCUCCCUUUUUCCUUUGCCAUCUUUAAAGGUUGGGCAUCAAAAAAGGGGACUCCCCGGUAAUAAGCCGGAAAGGGGGGGAAAACCGCCCCAAGCCCUCAUGGCCCUUAGGGGGCUGGGCUACACGUGCUACGGGGGUGCUGACAAGGAAGGGCAGCUAGCUCGCGAGGAAAGCUAACCCCAAAAAGCGCCCUUCGGAUUCGAACCCCCCCAAAAGUUUUCCAAUUGCGAAGUCGGAAUCGCAAAUUUCGCGGAUCAGCAUGCCGCAGUGAAUACUUUCCCCGGGCCUUGUACCCCCCGUCACACCAGGGGGGUUGGUUUUCCCCGAAGGAAAUUUUGCUAACCCAAGGAGGAAAACCCAGGGCCCGGGAGUUUUUUGGGGUGAAGUCGAAAAAGGUACCCCUUGGGGGGACCUGGGGCCCGGUCCCUCCU